rnacentral:rRNA from 2 species
UGUCGUCAGCUCGUGUUGUGAAAUGUUGGGUUAAGUCCCGCAACGAGCGCAACCCUUAUCCUUUGUUGCCAGCGGUUAGGCCGGGAACUCAAAGGAGACUGCCAGUGAUAAACUGGAGGAAGGUGGGGAUGACGUCAAGUCAUCAUGGCCCUUACGACCAGGGCUACACACGUGCUACAAUGGCGCAUACAAAGAGAAGCGACCUCGCGAGAGCAAGCGGACCUCAUAAAGUGCGUCGUAGUCCGGAUUGGAGUCUGCAACUCGACUCCAUGAAGUCGGAAUCGCUAGUAAUCGUGGAUCAGAAUGCCACGGUGAAUACGUUCCCGGGCCUUGUACACACCGCCCGUCACACCAUGGGAGUGGGUUGCAAAAGAAGUAGGUAGCUUAACCUUCGGGAGGGCGCUUACCACUUUGUGAUUCAUGACUGGGGUGAAGUCGUAACAAGGUAACCGUAGGGGAACCUGCGGUUGGAUCACCUCCUU